rnacentral:rRNA from 1 species
GAUGAACGCUGGCGGCGUGCCUAAUACAUGCAAGUCGAGCGAACAGACGAGGAGCUUGCUCCUCUGACGUUAGCGGCGGACGGGUGAGUAACACGUGGAUAACCUACCUAUAAGACUGGGAUAACUUCGGGAAACCGGAGCUAAUACCGGAUAAUAUAUUGGACCGCAUGGUUCAAUAGUGAAAGACGGUUUUGCUGUCACUUAUAGAUGGAUCCGCGCCGCAUUAGCUAGUUGGUAAGGUAACGGCUUACCAAGGCAACGAUGCCUAGCCGACCUGAGAGGGUGAUCGGCCACACUGGAACUGAGACACGGUCCAGACUCCUACGGGAGGCAGCAGUAGGGAAUCUUCCGCAAUGGGCGAAAGCCUGACGGAGCAACGCCGCGUGAGUGAUGAAGGUCUUCGGAUCGUAAAACUCUGUUAUUAGGGAAGAACAAAUGUGUAAGUAACUAUGCACGUCUUGACGGUACCUAAUCAGAAAGCCACGGCUAACUACGUG